ACUGGCUAAAAACUUCGGAAUCGGCGACGCUGCAUAUCUGUCGCCUGCCCGUUGCGGGGGGGGGCCAAAAGGCGCAGUGAAACAUGCAAGCGGGAAGCCUAGUACAUGGCCGUUGGAACUACAACAAGCACAAAGAAGCGGAAUCCC
rnacentral:rRNA from 1 species